rnacentral:ncRNA from 2 species
GUUACUGUCAGCACUGUCGGCUCAACCGCCGACUCCGAUGGGCAAGCAGGAAGCCGGUGCGAAUCCGGCGCGGUCCCGCCACGGUGACCGGGUGACAACCCGGAAGUCCGAUACUGCCCCCACCGGACAAUCUGC